rnacentral:SRP_RNA from 1 species
UGGGCGACUCCCUGGCGGAAAAACUCCAGGCAUGCACCGCGAAACUGCACGCCAGGGAUGAGGCCAUCAGGCGGUUGAGACGGCAAUUAGACGCAAAGUCUCCGAAGAGGACGCG